rnacentral:lncRNA from 1 species
AAGCUGAGGAAGAGCUCCCGUUGAAGCCGCCAAGGCUUCAGCCUCUCUUUGGUCAUCAGGAACCUUUUUCUCCGUUGAUGUUGAUGCUCCCAUUGUCACUCAACAAUGUUAGAAAUGAAACAAAUAUAUAUCCAGUUAUUGCCUAUUUUUGCACAAUAUAUACCUGACAUAGAAAGAGACAACAAUCUACCUGCUUAUUUUUUUGUAUGAUUUUCAAGAAUUGAAUCAUCAAACUGGUUUGAUGAGUUUGAUGAAUGAUUGUAAAUAAGUAGCAACAACUUAAAGUACAACAAUAUUGGUAUCAAAACAGGGGUACAGUAAGGAAACAAAAAAAAAUCCGUAGAGAAAGAUAAAUUGAAUAAAAAGAUUAAUUAUAAAAUAGUGAAGGAGAAGUCCUCAAUAACAGCAAGGUGGUAUAAACAACAUAACUUUCUUCAGUUAAAUACUAAAAUUUACGAGGACAGUGUUUCCUUGAUAGAAACAACAUAUCAAGAGAUGCUAAAUACAAAACUCCAAUAUAAGUAUGUAUAUGUGUAUAUAUAUAUAUGUAGAUAUGCAUGUGUGUGAGCGCAUGCACACACAUAUAUACAUAUUUAGUUUUGGGAUAAAAAGCUAAGCUUUCAUUGGGAGAAAGAAGACAUGGGGAAUAUGAAGUAACAGUCAUAAAAAAUAUACUAUUGCAAUUACUAAAUAACACUAGAGUCCACAGAGCAAGUAAUUGAAGGUUUUAUAAAUCAAACAUGAUGGGACAAGCAUGUUAAUCCAAUAAAUGUGGUAAGUGUUAAGAUUGGAAGACUUAAGUUGCAUCUUUCCCACAUAAAUUCAAUGAUUUAACGUGAACUGCUUAGAUUUCUGCUACAACCGAUCGUGGUGUUAAUUCACUACCAAAAGUAUACUAAUGUUGUCGUAAUUAACAUACUGGCACAAUCCACAAAUAUCCUUGAUUAGUUUGGACACUCUUCAUCAGAACUCACAACUAGAAAAUGCUAAAUGUAUUAUCAGAUGUUAUGAAGAAAAACAAAGUAGUCGUAAGUAGUAACAGACUAACAAACUAUAAUAACGGAAACAGUAGUUUCAACAAAAUAAGGACAACAAAUAAAUAUAAGCGGUAAGACCAAAAAAAUUCAACUUGUUUGUGUUAAUAUCAAAAGAAAUUAAAGCUGGCCACGGAGAAUGGACAUAGAUCAAUAAAUUAACAUCGUAAGAACGAAGAAUAGAGUUGUCAGAAAAUUUUGAGUCUAAAAACAGGAAAUCCAAAUUACAGUAAAGCCAAAAAUAUAUGAACAAUUUGAUCUAAUCAGACAGUCCAAUUCAUAAUACUGAGGAUAACGUAAAUUUGCGAGCUCAGCACAUGUGGAUAUAACUAGAGUUCAUUAGUCUUUACUGAAAGAUAAUAAAAAAAAAAGCAUUUCGUUUCCUUUUCACUUUCAAUCACAUAAAGGUUUUUCCAUUUCAACGGACGGAUCUCUUGUGUCUUAAAAUGUUUUAAGAUCCAAUAGCAGAGUAGUGUUACACUUCGGAACAUGAUACCAACCAUCACAACCGUCAAUUGAAAAAUUAUUAAAAAAAAAAAAAGGUACUCUCUUCAAACAGCCAUCAAAAUUUGUAGAGAAAAUGAAGAAAAACAUUUGAAAUCGAAAUGACCGAGAGCCAGCUUCCUCUUGAACAAAUAAUGAGUCACCAGAAUUCACUUAACAAAAAAAGAAAGCUCAGAUGAAGAAAACUUAUGAACCGUUGAAAUUUAACUUCAACCGAGCAACACGUUUCAGGUAUCUAAAGCGAUGAGGGAAAAGUUAAAAGAGAGUAGUAAUGAUAAAAAGAACAAGAAUUAGAGUGGAAAGAGAAGAAGUAAACCUGAUGGAGAUAAACUGAGGAGUAUGCGAAUAUUAUUUCUGAUGGCAUAAACGAAAGAAUCCUUGUCUAUUUUGAAAUGCUAGGUUAAGUGCACCUUCAAUUAGACUUGAGUGAUAGCUUUUUUCACCGGCGACCAGAGAAGUCGACGUCCGACGAAAAGGAAUAACUGAUCUACCGUCGCGUCUGGUUUCUUUCAUCAAUUAAAUUGAUAAACUUUUCUAUUACCGGAAAAGCAGAGCCGAUCCACGUCGUGGCAUCGCGUAAGGCUUUUGGAUUCUACGUGUCACUGCAACA